rnacentral:tRNA from 2 species
GCUCUUAUGGUGUAAUGGUUAGCACUCUGGACUCUGAAUCCAGCGAUCCGGGUUCAAAUCCUGGUAGGACCU